rnacentral:rRNA from 1 species
UUAACACAUGCAAGUCGAGGGGCAGCGCGGGGCGGCAACGUCCUGGCGGCGACCGGCGGAAGGGUGCGUAACGCGUGAGCGACAUGCCCGUUGCCCGUGGACAACCGGUGGAAACGCCGACUAAUCCACGAUGGGACGGAGGCCCUCAUGGGUCUCUGUUGAAAGUUACGGCGGCGACGGAUUGGCUCGCGUCCGAUUAGCUGGUUGGCGGGGUAACGGCCCACCAAGGCUACGAUCGGUAGGGGUUCUGAGAGGAAGGUCCCCACAAUGGAACUGAGACACGGUCCAAACUCC